ensembl:lncRNA novel transcript, antisense to CCDC101
GCCGCCUCAGGGAGGUCGGGAGCCGCGGCGCGGAGGGAGGACUCAGCCCUUCGCUCCCGCGUUUCGCCGGAGGUCUCAGGCCACGGCCCGUCGCCACCUACCGAGUCCGGGACAAAACAAGCUCGUCGGGCUGGAAACUGCGACGAGGGGAGCAGGCGCGUUCCUCGAACCCUUUUUCGGAGUCUGCGGAUGAUCACAGACCUGCGUUCGAAGAUUGGCGGCACGUCGAGAACCGCACACGCUUUUUUUUCCUUUUAUGAGCGUAGUCGCGCGCGGAGGACCUUGCACGCAUGCGUAGUCGUUCCUCUGUGACGUGACCCGCUGCCCCGUGGGAAAUGUAGUUUUCACUUGGCACACCGCUCCGGCUCUUGGCGGAACCCUAAUUUAACCAACCAAAGUGCUUGUGCGUUUUCAGCGUUUUCUCCCAUUUCCCCAGACUCUAUUUAAAACAAAAUGCAAUAAAUAAAUAAAUAAAUAAAACUUGAAAGCGAA